GGGAAAGUUGAAAAGCACUUUGAAGAGAGAGUUAAAGAGGACGUGAAACCGAUGAGGUGGAAACGGAUAGAGCCAGCGCAUCUGGCCUGCAUUCAUCUGCUUUGCUGUUGGCAGCUGGUAUGCCGCUCUCCAGAUUGGGACGGUGACCUGCAUUGCUGGCGGCAAGCAAUGCAUUUGCAGGUGGAGUGCGUCGAGAGUUUCGGGGCAGCGGUGCGAUCUCAGCCUUGAGGCCAUCCCGCAAGGGUUUGGUACCCGGGCUGGGGGAACGCUGUUUGUUCUGGAACGCAAAGAGGGUUUACGGCUCACGAGCCCGGGUGGGCGCCGUGCUGGUGCGGGUUACGGUCGCAUGCGACACGUGCUUGUGCCCAGUUCGGUCCUGCCCGAGCUCACUCAUUAACCGCUCUCGGCGUAAAAGCUGGUCAUCUAUCCGACCCGUCUUGAAACACGGACCAAGGAGUUUAUCGUGUGCGCGAGUCAUUGGGCGUUGAAAACCCAAGGGCGCAAUGAAAGUGAAUGUUUCCGCAAGGAGCUGAUGUGCGAUCCCGGGCGCUGCGGUGCCCGGGCGCAGCAUGGCCCCAUCCUGACUGCUUGCAGUGGGGUGGAGGCAGAGCGUACGCGGUGAGACCCGAAAGAUGGUGAACUAUUCCUGAGCAGGACGAAGCCAGAGGAAACUCUGGUGGAAGUCCGAAGCGGUUCUGACGUGCAAAUCGAUCGUCUGACUUGGGUAUAGGGGCGAAAGACUAAUCGAACCAUCU
rnacentral:rRNA from 1 species